UACGUAGGUCCCGAGCGUUGUCCGGAUUUAUUGGGCGUAAAGCGAGCGCAGGUGGUUUAAUAAGUCUGAUGUAAAAGGCAGUGGCUCAACCAUUGUAUGCAUUGGAAACUGGUAGACUUGAGUGCAGGAGAGGAGAGUGGAAUUCCAUGUGUAGCGGUGAAAUGCGUAGAUAUCGGGAGGAACGCCGGUGGCGAAGGCGGCUUCCUGGCCCGUUACUGACGCUGAGGCACGAAAGCCAGGGGAGCGAACCGG
rnacentral:rRNA from 1 species